AUGCCCCUUAUGACCUGGGCUACACACGUGCUACAAUGGGCAGUACAACGAGAAGCGAACCCGCGAGGGUAAGCGGAUCUCUUAAAGCUGUUCUCAGUUCGGACUGCAGGCUGCAACUCGCCUGCACGAAGCUGGAAUCGCUAGUAAUCGCGGAUCAGCACGCCGCGGUGAAUACGUUCCCGGGCCUUGUACACACCGCCCGUCACACCAUGGAAGUCUGCAAUGCCCAAAGUCGGUGGGAUAACCUUUAUAGGAGUCAGCCGCCUAAGGCAGGGCAGAUGACUGGGGUGAAGUCGUAACAAGGUAGCCGUAGGAGAACCUGCGGCUGGAUCACCUCCUUUCUAAGGAA
rnacentral:rRNA from 1 species